rnacentral:rRNA from 1 species
GACGUAGGGCGCGAGCGUUGUCCGGAUUUAUUGGGCGUAAAGAGCUCGUAGGCGGCUUGUCGCGUCGACUGUGAAAACCCGCGGCUCAACUGUGGGCUUGCAGUCGAUACGGGCAGGCUGGAGUUCGGUAGGGGAGACUGGAAUUCCUGGUGUAGCGGUGAAAUGCGCAGAUAUCAGGAAGAACACCUAUGGCGAAGGCAGCACUCUGGGACGGUACUGACGCUGAGACGCGAAAGCGUGGGGAGCGAACAGG